GAUGAACGCUGGCGGCGUGCCUAAUACAUGCAAGUCGAGCGAACAGACGAGGAGCUUGCUCCUCUGACGUUAGCGGCGGACGGGUGAGUAACACGUGGAUAACCUACCUAUAAGACUGGGAUAACUUCGGGAAACCGGAGCUAAUACCGGAUAAUAUAUUGAACCGCAUGGUUCAAUAGUGAAAGACGGUUUUGCUGUCACUUAUAGAUGGAUCCGCGCCGCAUUAGCUAGUUGUUAAGGUAACGGCUUACCAAGGCGACGAUGCGUAGCCGACCUGAGAGGGUGAUCGGCCACACUGGAACUGAGACACGGUCCAGACUCCUACGGGAGGCAGCAGUAGGGAAUCUUCCGCAAUGGGCGAAAGCCUGACGGAGCAACGCCGCGUGAGUGAUGAAGGUCUUCGGAUCGUAAAACUCUGUUAUUAGGGAAGAACAAAUGUGUAAGUAACUAUGCACGUCUUGACGGUACCUAAUCAGAAAGCCACGGCUAACUACGUG
rnacentral:rRNA from 1 species